rnacentral:rRNA from 1 species
UACGGAGGGUGCGAGCGUUGUCCGGAAUCAUUGGGCGUAAAGGGCGCGUAGGUGGCUUGGUAAGCGUGCGGUGAAAGCCUGGGGCUCAACCCCGGGUCUGCCGUGCGAACUGCGAGGCUUGAGCACUGUAGAGGCAGGCGGAAUUCCGGGUGUAGCGGUGGAAUGCGUAGAGAUCCGGAAGAACACCGGUGGCGAAGGCGGCCUGCUGGGCAGUGGCUGACACUGAGGCGCGACAGCGUGGGGAGCAAACAGG